CUUUAAUUGGCUGCCAGCCCUAUUAAUUCUGAAAGUGCAACUCAGCAGAUCUUCUGAUGCUACCGGAGACCGAGAUCUGAAAGACUAGUAAGAAACCCAAACACAGAGUGCGUUCCACAGCCCAGGAGCAGCUACCGAGAAGGCUGAGUCGCCACCAGACGUGUUGGUGGCAGCUGAAGACAGACCUCCUCAGAUGACCUCAACGUGCGGUGGGGAUCGUGCAGAAGAAGGUUUGCCAAAAGCUACAACAUCAAAAGCCUUCUGGUGUUCCUCAGCAGACAACUACCUUUUGGGGUGCCUUCUGCUCAUGACUGAUGACGCGCAACGAACCCUGGACCCUACAGCAUUACUUGUGCCUUUUAGUUUUUGUGUUCUUAUAUUGUUCUCAUAUGCUUAGCUUGGCACAUUUUAUAUGUUUAUAGUUAAUAAUACCUUUCCAUGUUUAUAUUCGCAUUUA